rnacentral:lncRNA from 1 species
GUCCGGGAAUUUCAGAAGAAUUGGUUUAUGCAAAACACCUGUUGUCAAAUAGAAGAAGAGUACAACUAUCGCCUGAGUCAAUUCUAAAAAUUAACCCAUUGGAUUACGGAAGAAGUGAAUGAUGUGUGCUGUAGAGUAUGUCAUUUCUGGAUACAAGAUUGUUUUUCUGGCAGUAGACGUACGAUGACAAAUUCCACGUUGAUUUCAAUAUCAAUAAAAUAAUAAAAUAAU